CGCACAGUAAGUGUGCCAUUUGGGACAGAGCCUUAAUUGCAUUACUACAGCUCUGUCCAGAGUAAGCAUUUAACUCAGAUGCACACGGAUUCCACAUAUUCUUCACACAACUUCAUGAAUGAACUCACUGACAUUAUUCUGAAGUGGUUUUGUGGGGGUGCUAUAGGGUGUUAGGCACCCUCAAAUGAAAGCAAGAGCACUCUCAGUUGAGGCUGCAAAAGUAGGAUAUUGGCCAAAUAGGGGUGUUUAAAGGCACACUUCACCCAAAAAUGAAAAUUACCCCAUGAUUUACUCACCCUCAAGCCAUCUUUGGUGUAUAUGAUUUUUUCCUUCAGAUGAAUACAGUCGGAGGUAUAUAAAAACAAAAUGUCCUGACUCUUCCAAGCUUUGUAAUGGCAGUGAAUGGGGGUCGAGAUUUUGAUGUCCAAAAAAGUGUAUCCAUCCAUUAUAAAAAGUAUUAAUAAUACGAAGAAACAGAACAAACUGAGAAAGACUCUAUCCGGAAGAACUGUAUAAAAAAAAAAAAAAAAAAAACACAUGCGCGACCUGCUACCAGAGAUGUGAGUGCAAUGGUCAAACAUGGCCACUUAGCAUAUUUACAUAGGAGGACAUUGGGAAAAUAGAAAAAAUGUAAUGGGUGAGGGGGAGGGGUAUGCAUUCUGUAUGAACGGCCCCUGAGCAAGUUUCUUCUUCACACUUUGCCGUGAGUAUCAGGUCCUUGCAUCUAGAUUUGACUGGGUCUCCUCAGUAAACAAGUUGUUUGUCUUGUUGACUACUUGACACUUGCACACCAUCAAAAAGCUGCUAGUGGCUCAACCUGAAACUCGCUGUUGCUGGUGUUUUUGUUUUGAAAGUGUUUGCAGUUAUGAAUUGUGCGGUGAGCUGCUCUUCGAUGUGUGAGAAACAGGAUGAGGUUUGCUGCCGUGUGGUUUGGGUUGACAUGAUAACCCCCAGCUGAGGACAUGCUUUCUGAGAACCUCUCUGCUGAUGACUCGACCUCUUUCUUUACAAUUAUGCAUUUUAGAGAUGGAGAAAGUGAGAGAAAAUGUGUGUGUGAGAGAGAAAAAGGCUCUUAAAUACCCAGCGGAUGCACAGCAUGGAUCUUUCCAGAGAGCACUCCUGCAGCAAAAGAUCGAGACAUAAUCCCAGUGAAGAGACCACAGGGAAGCCAAUGAGAAUCUUUUUCAGGUGUGCAGCCCCACUGGGAUACUGGAUACAACUUGUGGCAUAGACUGGAUCUUGUUGCAUGUGUGGAAACAGCAAAAAUACUUAUGAGAUGUGAUUUUGGACCAUCUGAUUAGGACUGCUUCCAUAUAAUGUGUUGGAAUGUGGAAUCUGAUCAAACCUGCUGUGAGUGUAGAAGAGACAGAAAGUUCAUACAUGAUAAGAACUUGCCCCAGAGCAAAGGCCAGCCACCCCCUCUUUCACUCGAGCAGAUGUUUCACAGAAGUGCAUUGCAUAAACACAAAAGAAGAUAUUCUGAUGAAUGCUGAAGUCCAUACAAGAUUGGACGACACUGACUUUCUUUUAUAAGUUCAAACAGGUUUAGAACAACAUGAGGGUGAGUAAAUAAUGACAGAUUUUUCUUUUUUCAGGUGAACUAUCCCUACUCACACCAAGAAAAAACAAAUUUAAAUAUGAGUUUUGUAUUGCUGAAAAGCAAGUGGAAUUCAUAUUGUCAUAUUUUUUAUGUGCACAAAUGCAGUGUUUUGUUUGUUUGUUUGUUUUUUUGUUUCACUCUUGGUCUAAAUAGACUUUUUGUGCAUGAUUUAUUUUGCUUUUCCGCUUUUAGUGUGAACAGGCCUUUAUUCUUUCGACCCUGCACCCGUAUUUAAGCUUCAAUGCUUCAUUGCCCACAGUAUGUGUUUCCUUUUUCCUUAUUCACUCAUAUCCAACACAGAAUGCAUGCAAGGUCAAUAUGGCCCUAAGGAAAUGAAAUUCCCAAAGGAAAGGCAUAUGGCUCCGGCUGGUGCUAAUCAAUAUCUUCAAUACGGCACACUGCCCUGAUCAAUUGUGCAUCAUGAAGGCUUGUAUCUUCGAAUAAAAGAUUUGUAUCGUUAACAUCUCCAACACCAAGAGCUGCAUCUUCCCACCCAGGAUCAAUAGGAGCUUUCUUAAGCCUUGAGCACACAGCGUUUUCAUUGACGUCUGCUGCUCUGAUGUAUAUUUAACUGCUGGGUGUAACUCCUGUCCUGGAGAAGCACCAGUCAACAGUCAGUUUUACUACAAGGAACUUUGAAGAUGUUAGGGGAACACGUGUAGAUUGCCAAACAUCUCACACGCUCCUUAAAGGUAACACCUAAGGACCACACAUACUCUGUUGGAACAAAAAGUAUGUAGAAAGAAAUGCUUAGAAAGAUGAUGAAGACUCAAGUGAGUCCUUAUAGGCAUGUGGCUAUGAAUGUGCAUGGUGGGUGGCAUGUUGAGUCAGAGGGAGAACAGCAAGUGAAAAGAACUUCACCAUAACAAAUGCAACCCUGAGGAUCUAGUUUAAUCAUUUAAAAGUUAGCCUAAAAGUUAUAAAUGUCAUCCUAAAAUUGAAGCGCUUUAGGGUUAGAAAUGAAUGUUUUUGUCACCAAAAGCAACACAAAUGGCCCUCGUAGUAAAUUCGUCUGAGUGGAGAAAUUAUGUAAUCUAUUUAAGGCCUGUCUAGUUAUUUUAAGAUUUAGUAAGAGCUGCUGCUUGAAUACUGUUGCUUGGAACAACAGACUCUAAAACAAUUGAUUUUUAUUCUAGAGAGUUUGGGGUAUGAUUUACUGUGUUUGAUUUAUAGAUGCACCACCAUUUAAAAGUAAAAAAAAAAAAAAAGAGAGAGAGAAAAUUAAUGAUUUUUUAUUCAGCAAAAAACAGUAAAGUUCAUUUGAACUUUAGAUUCAUCAAACUGAAUAGAAAAAAAAUUAUACUGGUUUCCACA